AUUUCUAGUUUAAAGUAGUGAUUUGAAACGUGCGCGUCAUAUUGACGUAAAUAAUCGGAAAAUUGAAGUAAUUGUGUGAUAUUAAUUAUCCAGUACUCCUUGAUAUACAUCUACAAGAAUAAUAUAACGUAGUUUAUAUCGAGUACGUGUUGUGUGUCACAUAAAUGUGAUCAUUAUCUGUUUUUAUGUUUCUUAUAAGUACUUUCCAUUUGAAGAUUUCCUGACAAAAUGUCUGCCUAUACGAGGGAAUCAUGGAUGGCGAAGGGAUUUUAUUGUCUGCUCGAACGGUCUUGAAUUUUAACGACGGCGAAGAUUCGGCGAAAUAAAUUCGAAUAGAAGAUGUAUCGGCGAGAAACAGCUUCGCUACUUUUCUCAACAGGUGGAAGUUAUUUGGUAUUACGCGAAAAGAAGCAGGUAUGCGGAGGUGUGCAGAGUGUUUUUCACGAUCGGUAGCAGUGCAGGACGAUCGUUAACAAAUCUGUCGGACCGGUCAAUGUUUAACGAGGCCGUGUGUCCCUGGGAAGAGCACGCGGCCCGGCACGGUGGCGAAGGGGGUUUGGGGUACUUCCAUCACGUAUUUACACGCUAUGCUUGCUGAUUGGCGUGCGCGGCUACCAACGUUUUAAUGAUUUACCCUUGGAGAAUGGCGUUUAGCCUAGGACUAUGUAACGUGAUUUAUUAUUGAUUGCCGAUUAUUGAUUCACGCCGAGUAAACGUAAUUCGAUUGUAAGCAGUCAAAAUCGGAGUUUCGAAGCUUUUCAGACGUAGCUGCCACUUGGAGCAAAGGAAUUUCAAAUAAUGGCAGCGGUUCGUCGCUCCGUGGAAGCUUCGUGUAGCGGAAAAUUAACUUGACAAGCACAGACUAACGUUAAUCGUCUGUGACUGACGUAAUCGUACCUAUAACCCAUACCACCACGUUAGAUUUUGCGAAGCUUUCGUCCACGAAGACGUUCUUCUUCACCCACGGGGAGAAAACGACAAGGACGCGUAAAUACGUAAUGGAUCGUCGUCUCGACUUGGCCAAAUUAUAUAUAACGUCAACUAUUGAUUGCAAUUAUGACGGUGGCUGGUGGAAGACUAGCGCGAUACGGAUAUAGCAUCGAUCAGUAUUUCAUAAAUUCGCAAUGACGCACGGCUCGGUCGUGAGUGACGUGUCAUAUAUCGCGUAACGACGAACAUUUAUGUGCACUCGCCGAGCACAUAAUUGCAAUUAGAGCGGAAUUCAUUUACAUCAGGCCCGACGUUCGAUUUGUUCAGGGAGAAAGCACGAAUUUAUACGGCCACGAUGGUGCACGCGUUCGCCCCGUCCCGAUUUAUUUCCGUGCACGUCAAUCUGGCUGUGGUGCCGCGAUGUAAAUAGGAUUAGAUUAGCCUAAAGAUCGUGCCAGCGUUCGGUGAUCGCCUGAAAAGAAACAAAAAAUAGUUACGCUGUUCGCGAAACGAUGCAAAUUCUCGUCUAUGUGAUUUCGUUUCGAAGAUAGGAGAAGAGAGUUCGACGUGGAUACUAAAUUUUCCUAGAAACACCGCGAAAUCGUUUCUCCCAGUUGGCAAAUAUCGCUCGAUCGUAAAUAUUUACACUGUUUCGCUAUUUUUUCACACAUCCAUUCGCUAUAUGGCUCUCCCCACCCAUCUUAUCGACGAGAAUUUAUCGCUGAAAUACGAUUUUAUGAAAAUUAACGCUGUUUUGAUCGCUUGAAUAAAUAAAUAAAUACAUUCUGCGUUUAUUAUUUUUGAAGAACGUUGAGGAGUGCGCCACGGUUUACGUUCGUUAAUACGUGUAAACACGAUAAUAAGGGGAAAAGAUGGGACUGUAAACCGCGUAAAAAAUCAGAGGACACGCAUGAACGAUCGAAAAGGGCAAGUUUGAAAGAAAAAGUACAGCAGCUGAACGUUCUGAAAAUUUCAUUUUGAUUUUUUUAAAUACCAUUCACGCUACCGCCACGUUCGGGAUUAAAAGCUAAUUCGAGCGAUUCAGUUUAAUUGAGCGAUUAACGGCUAAAUAAAGCCCGUUUCUCUCUCUCUCUCUCUCUCUCUCUCUCUCUCUUUCGCCCUCGUGCCGCUUAUCCCUCCUCUGCCGCUUCUCUCUCCGAUACCUCCCUCCCCCACCACCUUUUAGAACAAAUCGUUCGUGAUGGUGUCCAGCCCGGUGGAAAAUAUAAUUCAAAGAUAUUUAUGGCUGGAUUACCGCUGGAAUUGGGUAUCUAAUAUACAUGACCGGUUCCACAGGCCGGCCGGACUUUAACUGUCCACCAGGGGGUUACGUUUCGCCCUUUUAAAACGAUGCCAGCCCGCCAUUACCGUGUAAACGCUGGCCAAUUACGAAACCGCGCGUUACCGAACGUAACGCGCAAAGAUUCACAUGGUAACGCGGAAAUUUAACAACGAAUUUUUCAACCAUGCUGUUCCGGGAUUCGCAAAGGGAACCACCGGGAAAAAGGACAAGAGUUUCCCGGUGAUCCUCGAAAAGGAUUAGCCGCAAUUGAUAGCCACGAGCAUGGAGGAACGUGCUUGAAGCUGGCGUUACGCACCAAAGCGUCGACCAUUUAACUAUUCGCGUUUUAACCGUUUCGAAAGUUUGCGUACUGUGUUCAGUUCCAACCCAGCUCGGAUUCGAUACGCAAUUGAGCGAAACAGCUUAGUUGAAAGAAUUAAAAAAAAGGAGUAUGAAAUAAGAAAACAUGGAGUCGAAUUGCAUGAAAAGGUCCGACGUAAUUAUUUGAUAUCGUGUCUUGUCUUGAUAUCUCAGUCUAAAUGCGGUCGAACGAAUUUUGAAAUAAAAAAUUUAUUGCUCGUUUGGACCCGCGAUCGUUCCCCGGGUCGUUUUGACUGAAAGGGAUAGAGAACGGUUGUAGAACGUGCCGAACGCGGAAUUAAUUAGAAGCAGCUGCCGACAUGGAGAGGCUAGACGCGAUCGCGCAAGGGUAAUUUUGAUUCUGAUCCAGAAUUAGGGACAGACUAGUGUCCAGUGUUCAACGUCCUGCAGUGUCCGGUGGUUAGUGCCGGACCAGAUGUCGCCACGGGCGUGACGUCACUGGUUAACUACCCUUUCGCAACCAACACCACCACCACAUGGCAUCGCCACCGUCAACCAAUCCUCCCCUCCCUUUACCUUCACCGCACCCGACGGACACGAUAUACGGGGAUGAUUCUGAUUAAUUACCGAUAGUUACACAAGCUGACGCCACGCCGUUGACAACCCUCGUCAACAGCGCGGACCUUCCCCCCCGGUUGGCUAUCGAAAAUCGCAUAUCCGAUUAACUUCUUCGCCAGCUUCCAUUUCGUGCUGUUUUUUUCAAGUGAAAAACCGUUGCACCGAGAUAUCGAUAGAGAAUUGAAUUUAUGAAAUAUCUUCCGCUGGAAUAAGUGGAUUUACAACGAGGGAACGACAUAGUGUGAUCUGCGAAAUGCAAAAUCUUUAUCGAAUCUCUGUCGGAAGGCAAAGUAUACCUAGAAACGUACCACUGAAGCAAAUUCAUUUAUCGAUUCGUCGAGGUUUAAUUCGUUCAAAGGGCCGCUGGGAAGGAUUGUUAUGCGAGAAGGGAUGAAAACGCGCGAGAGCAGUAGCAUCCCCUCGCGAGAUGCAUCGAGCCACGACCAACCGAUCGGACCGCCAAUAUUUGGCAAUUACGAAAUAUGAGUUUACAUUUAAUAAUUGCGGUAAACACCGGCGGACGCGGCGAGUGGCCACAGGGGGUGGGCCCAACGAGAUAUGGUCGCAUGUUCGUUCGUUCGUUCGUUCGUUCGCUCGUUCGCUCGCUCGCAUUUGGGGUAAAUUCCGAUUUACUCUCCGUGAUAGGCAUUAUUCGACGUAACCCGCGACUACGUUUUAUUCGCUCCAACACGCCGCGAACCUCUGUUUCCCUUUAUCAUCGUCCGCCGAGAUAAAUGCCCGCCGCACCCCGAAACUUUUUGUUCGCCAGUCCCUUGUGUGUGCUCUCGAACAUACAAGUACACGCAUGUAUGCGUGCACGUGCGCCAGCGCGCCUCUGAACUUUUCACGCUCGCGUCUGCCUUCGACGUGUACAUAUUUGCUUUCUCCCCUCGAUUUGCCUCUUCUUCUCUUCUUCGUUUCUUCUUUUUCUUAUGAUAGCGAACGACCAUCUCGUACCGCGCCGGUUAAAGCGCGAAAUACUCAAAGAACCAUUGCGAAAGGGGUAACAGAGAUUUCGCGAGACGCUCGCAGACGAUAAGAGACAACCCCCCUGCCUAAAGCCAUAUACUAUUAAUGAGAAUAUGAUCGAUAUUAGCAAACAUUUCCCAUGGGAUAUUUACGCGCGGCAGUUCGCUUAGAUCGAUAGCGUAUUUGCGAUCUGUCGCGGUUAUCGACGGCGACGUUUAUUCAAAUGUAAUAUCUCGUCCGCCAACGAAGAUUACCUGCUUGGAAAAUGUGUCCCACAGGUACGCAUCGAUUUUCCUUUGCGCCUCGACGACCCGCCACUCUUGUUUUGUCCUCCGGCUUGACUCUUCUCCUCCUUUCCUCCUUUCUUUUUCUUUUUUUUUCGUAUACUCGAAUUACCCUCUUCUGGACGAGCAUCGAUAAUGUAUUGACUGUGACAUUUUUCUGCCUGUCUCUGUUACCAUUUCCGAAACUUUAUAUAACAGAUCCUUACAACACGAAAGUCGUACUUUUUUCGACCAUCCCCGCCGUUUCAUCUUCGUGAUCCUUUUUCUGGCUCGUUAAUCGUUAAUUCGUGGGAAACACGAGUAAAGUUCCGCGAGAUCGAAAUUGCUCGCGGUUACGUAAUUGCUCGAACGGAUGCAACACGCAAGUGGGAAGACGGAAAGAGGCCCGAUAAGCACGAGGCAUCUCGACUGUUCGAAGGGUACGGGCAUAUUCGUGUUGUUACGUAAAUCCACGGUUAGAACCUUGUCACCUUUUAUUCGAAGCCCGUGCUCUCCCUCUUUUCUGCCUCAUAGACGUUCCUCCGAAGGGCUCGGCCACGCACACCGAUUCGAAUCCACACACAGUCUCGCGCGAACACGUACACACGAGCAUCCCCCCGUCCCGUCGUUCCUCACUCUUCUCGCGUUCCUUUCUCCCCUUUCUGCUCGCUGUCCUACAGCAGUUCAAAAAGUUCUCCAGCCACUCUCGACGCAAGCUGUUUCACCAAGGAUCUCGCGCCUUUUUCCAAUUUCUUAAAGAGCCGCGACAAUUUAUGUGAAACGCGUUCAUAAAGUACUGCUACCACCACCCCUACGGUUACCCAAACCACCCCCAUUCGAAACCUCGUGUUCCAUCGAGUUCGAACGCCAGUGAAACCUGGAAACCGAGCAACCCCACUCGCCUCUCCCUUUCCUCUGUCAAUGGUAGACUUCUUAAAAGUUACUUCGACUCCGUGUUUCUCGAUACUUAUUAGCUCUCCCCUGUCGGUCGGCUCCUCGCACGUAGUCACCUUCGCACGUUCACGCGUUCACGCGUUCAUGAAAGUUUCGCAAUAUAGAAACGUGUGUCAGCGAACGCAUGCGUCCACUUUUGCUACUUACGGCUCUGGUGUUCCAUCGGUUUCUCUAGAGGGGAUGAAGAAAACGCAGCGAAUUUCAUCAGGAUGGGAAAUAAUUAUGCGAUGAAACGUGUGAACGACGUUGAAGCGACGUUUACAUUCACUUUUUCGACGAAGAAGCAGCGCUGAUAGAGACUGGAAUGGCGAUUCUUGUUCGGCAUGUUAAGGUUCGAUGUUGACGUAAAAGGCUGUCUCGAGGAAAUGAUAAUGAUGUUUGUACAGUUUGUUGGAACGAAACAGAGUUAAGAGACGCGGUGAUUUUCCGAAGGAAGAUCGUGAUCGUAUGUGGAUACUUUAGGAAAUUGAUUACGAGGGUGGUAAGGGGGUGGCUAGAUGGUUUAUUGUUCCUCCGCGACGUGGCAGCACCCGUGCCUUGCUACGACGGAAUCCAUUUUAAAACGAUCUUUUAACCUUUCGUUAUCUAUCCUUAAACUAUAGAUUUCGAUCCUAAUCCUUUUUCUAUAUGUUUUUUUUUUAUUUUUCAUUAAACAAGACCGCGUUUAACUUCUGCUCCGAAGAAAAUAAUUAUAAGGUGUUACAAAACUGUCCAAACUACAUUUGCAUCGAAAUAAAUCUUCCAAAUUGCAGAGACAAUAUUAUCGAAACGAACAAUUUACAAACACCAGAGAAACUUUCAGUUCUCUCGCUAAUGUAACUGAAACAAAAGCUAUUGCCCAGUCGUGUCAAUUUGAAGAGACAGGAAGAAAAUCGGAGAAAAAUGAACGAGCCAACAGCAGGCCGAUAACUCUGAAUAGCUAAUACCGUGAUUUGCGUAAGCGAUUCAGUAGGUCGCGAUUAAUCGCGAGACUUAAUAGGCGUGCUCCUGGCGAGCUAACCCCGUGAAAUCCUCUCAUUUGGAAUUCCCCGGAAAACCAAGGAGAAAUCUGCCACAGACACGGAGGGACCGCGAAUCACGCGGCAUUUCUCUUGGUUUCACCGUUUCCAGCACGAGCCACGUUUUCCUCGGGCCGCGUCAAGAACAAAACCGGACCAACGUCGGAUGCGUCCGUAUCUACGCUUCUUGAGCGCGCGUUCGUGGGCCGCGGGGUGCGCCAAUAGAGCCGGCAAGGAGGGUUUCUGCUCGUUUCUUUUCCAAUUAAAAUUCAACGGCCGUCGGACAGGCCGCGUAAUUGGCCGAGAUCUCUUUAAGCGGGAAAAUUACCAAGAAGGGCUUGUCGAGCGGCAAAGGUUUAACAGUCGACUGCAAGAUGGAAGGAAAAGGGACGAGAAAGGCGAGUCCGGCCAGGCCUCUACCUCUCCCUCCGUUCCCGACGACACCCUCGUCGGAGCAAAAAUCCUGCCAAUAAAUAAAUUUAAAUACAUGAAUAUCUAACCCAUUCUCCCUCGAGCUGGCGGUAGCCUGAUCGCGCGGCUUUGCGGGUUCAUCUGGCGGAUACCGAUGGAUCGGUGGUUCGACGAGCGUUCACGCCAAGCCAACUGGUCUCAUUCGAUCGACGAGUGACGCGUUUCUCGCGAAUUUCUCACCUGUAUCUAUCUUCUUCCGAUCAGCGUAUACGAACCAAAUACUCGGCCGGCUUAAAAAUCUCCGCGUUCCAACGAACUUUCUUUAAAGACACGCGCUACGAUUAUUUCCAUGGGAUGUCGCGACGUGCGUUACUGCAUACGCACGGCGCCGGGUAAUUAGCGGCACGAUGGUUCCCCAUACCGAGCGACGUGGUUUUUUUCGUGACGGAACAUCAGAGGCGUCUCAAAGAACCAAACGCGUGCCUCGAUUGACAAAGUCUACACCGUCGACGUUGCGUCGUAUCGCGAAGCAAAUGAAAAAAGGAAGAGGAAGAGGAAAAUGGGAGGAGAGAGAAAACGAAGAGAACAGAAGGUACUGCGAAAAAGAGACAGGAAAGGGGAUAGCGGAAGAAGACAAGAAAAAAAAAACAAGUAGAGAAGAAAAAAUUCCGCAACAACCCUUCUCCCCUAUUCGACUAGAUCCUCCCUUGCCGGAAGCUCAGCUUGCGCUGCUCGCCAUUGACGUCACGAACGUCUCUGAGUGUUUCAGUGCCGCCUCUCCCCUUUUGGACCCCCUUUCUCCUCUACACCACCCCUUCCUGAUUCCCCGGACACCGCUAUAAAAUCAUGUAAUUAGCUAUAUACCUCUUGUCCGUAUUGCUCUGUCAGUGGUGCGGUGCGGUGCACUUUAGCGGCACGAGGAGGGGUGCAGAGACGAGAGGGUGGGUCGACGUAUAGGAGAGCCACCGGAGAGGGGUAGAGGAGGAUUUGGUCCGGGAAAGGGGCACGGGGUGGCGGUGGGCUAGGCCAGCGGCGGAGACGAGAGGGGGCAUGAAGUACCCGCUAAUUAAUACCCUUAAUUGCAACGACCCCAGCCUACAGCCGCUGCCAGGGCUGUAGGUAGCUAGAAUGCUCCACGGUGAACUCGUUUCAGCCGAUCGCCGCUUCGCUUGUCGUCUUCGAUGAACUUUGUCGAUGUCGAUGCGCUGCCACUCGAGGCCGGUUCAAUUCUAUGCCCCUGGCUUCGAUCCGACCAGCUACCGAUAAGCUUGUUAGAAUCUUGGUCUGUUGGUGUCGAAUCGGAUAUGCUUAAACAAUGUUCCGGCUAUUUUUCCCGCUACUGCUCGUAAAUUGUGAGAGUCGUUAAAAAUUCCGUGCAUAUUAUUUAUUCACGAAUAUUUUAUCGAAGGUAGUCGAUGGAAUUUGAAAAUCAAGGAGUGAAAAAUAGAAAUAGGAUAAUUCUAGUAUUCUACGUCGGAACUUCAGCGUUUGAAUUACCGAACCAAUCAAAAUGAUUGGCAUCGGGUGUUUCUCGGAUUUUGCAACUAAAAGCGUGCAAAUGGUUUUACGAUAUUAACGUCUGGUUUUAUUGAGACAGAAACGCGAUUGAAUAUACUUAUUUACUUUCAUUACAUAGCUUUAAUUUUCAUUUUAAUUAUGUAUACUAUACUUAGGUAUACAUGUCGACGCAACUCUAUAAUGUCAACAGUUAUAUCUUCAAUUAUAAUUAAAAUAGUGAGAUAAAAAUGAAAUUAUCAUUAACAUUAUUUAUCAUUAACAAAAUAAGAGGAAACUUGAUGAUUCUAGUGUUAAACCGUGUUGCCAUAAUUACCAGCUAUCCUGCCACGAUUUUUAUCGUUUCUUCUAUAUCCAAUAUCCGCAACGACGAAAGCUCCUUUCCUUUGUUGUCGCACCGGUACGUGUCGACGGCGGCCUGUAAAUCGGCGCGACAUAUUUCCAUCGUUUCGUAAAAAUAGCGCGCGAAGCGGCCCUUAAGUUCAUGCGAUCGCAGGUACACGUUAUGAAGGGACGAAGCUGAAAUGUGGAUGAAAUGGAGAGAAUGGUGGCAAAAAGAGAGAGAAAGAGGCAGAAGGAGUCUCCCAUAUCGACGACGGCGUUAAGUUAUGGCGCUAUCGUGGCAACAUGUCGCCCGGCUUGUUCGACAAACUUUUCAAUGUCGAUAUAUAUUUUCCGCGGGCGCCCUUUUAUGAGCUGUUGAGCUAGUCUUUCGAGCCGCUCAGCCGCCAGCAAACCGAUUCAACGUAUCGAUCUUUCGCGGAGCGCCUUUCUCUCCGUCUCCCUCCCUCCACCUCUUUUGUAUCGUUCGUUUCUUGCUCUCGCCUCGUAAAUCGCCCAUUGAUUCGGCUAAUACUUGCAGGAAACGUUUCAAUUUUGCCAAUCUUUUGAUCCUCUGUGAGCGUAUUUCACUGAAUUUGAAUAUAAACAUUUAUCGAUCAUUUCUGACAACAUUAUGUUGAAAAAUUAGCAUUUUAAACUCGAACGUUCGAAUUCUAUUGAAAGUUUUAGAGCGAUUAGAAAUAAUUUAUUAAGAAUUUAUAAUUUAGAGGACAAUUCGAGUGGUAAUGAAUAUCUGUGAUGUAGCUACUAGUAACGUAAACGAAUAAAAAGAGCGUUUCGGUUAAAAUGGUUUGUUCAUGGGAAAACAACGAGGAAAAAAAGUUAUAACAGGGCGCGUAAGUUCAAAUUCGACAAACAACGUGGCCCGAUGUUACGGAGGUAGCGCGUUAUGGGGCGUUUAACGAGUGCGGUUAACCAGCUCGCCGGAAAACACCGAUGUCGUUCUCUAAUAUAUACGGGUCGCGUUCGUGGCAAGCCUGUCUGAGCAUAUGUUGCCACCUUCCACUAGUCUUGGCAUCGUUCUUGCGUGGCGCGCGCCCCGCGCCCGCUAUUUCUCAAAGAAGAUUCUAAUAAUCUCCGUUUCGCUUGUCACGCGAUAAAUAAUCCUCGGUAAUUGCACGCUAAUUAAACUGGAAUCGAUUUUUUGUCCCAUGCCGGAUACACUGCAGAUAAAUGGAAACGAGAAUAGGCGAUAAAACAAGAUUCGUAAUUUAAUAAUACCUUUACAAGCGUAUAACAUACGAAGAUCACACGUGAAAAACAUGAUAAGUUCAUUCUUGUUAAUUUCUUGAUUUCGAACGACUCGUUAGAUUUACAAAUUAAUUUACAAUCGGACAAAUUCCCAUUCUUGGAACGUUCAAUAUGGCGCAAGAAUAUCUUACGUUAAUUCAAAGGACAGUUUCGACUAUACUAUAGAUCGUUGAUUUUCAAAAUUGAGUUCUUCAUGUUCCAAGACUAGAAAUAAGUAGUCGAAAGACUUGACAGUUUUCAAAGUUCUGUUUUAAUAAAAUUAAGACACCGCUACGUACACGCGCGCGAUCUCGGCUCAAUGAAUUACCGGAAACGUAAAACGAGUGGGAAAGAUCUCGUGUCGGGACAUGACGGUGAAAGAGUGGGCGGGCCGCGGUGGCCGAUCGUUAGAGGAUCCCUUUAUUGGAUGUGAAUGUUCACCGACAUUUUGAUAAAUUUGUGCGCACACGCGUGCACGCGCACUUCCAGCAGAUGCAAUCAAAUAGACACGAUUAACGACGCGAUCGUUAAUUAUCGUUCGGUAAAUAACGAAAGCGAUCGCGUUGGCAAAUUGUUCGAGGCGCUUUAAUUGAACGCGAAUUCAUUUUCAAGUACUUGGUUGGUCCGAUUUUAUCCCUCCCCUUUGUAAUUGAAUUUUUCAUGAGGCAAACACUUCGUACGUUCCUGUAUCUCGCGACAUCCGUAAUUACGUAUCCUUUCUCUUUAAUCUCCUACGUAUACGUCAAACCUUACAGGUUUAACCGCGGUGUAUCCUUCAACGAGGGAAACGAUGUUUCUGCAACGUGAGACCGAUUAAAUUUCGAGCUGGUGCUCGAUUGCGGCUUAUUGUUCAUGACCAUGUGCGACGUUCCGUACUCGACCACGAGUUCCAAUUUCUCACCAACGUAGUGGUUGAUUAUUAAUUAAUCGUACGAAACGCGAGCCGAGCCGGUCAAUUACGCCGCGGUCCAUUCUCAACGGAGAAAGAUUCGAGUUGCGGAGAACGCAAUUAUCGAUCGAUUCGUGUGUUCGCCGGUUGAUUCGAUAGUUGUAGAGGCAUCGAAGCCCGUACACCGCCUACGAGAUUAUCCUGGACCUCAGUUUGAACGUGCAAAGUGAAUUCGAUUCGCCGGGUUUCCGGCGAGAAAGCAAGCCGCUGUAACUCUGCUCCGUGUAUAUUAUUAACAUGUAAUUAAAUGGCGUUAGCUUGCGCUAACUGUAUAUAUAUACAUAUAUAUAUAUAUACAUAUAUAUGCAUAUAAGUGUAUAUAUAUAUACAUUAUAUAUAUACAUAUAUACAUACUAUUGUACGAAGUCGCGUGAGCGCCGCAAGUUAAUUAAGAGUCUCUAAUGAACCAGCCACACCGCGAACGACGGCAGCCCCGACGCUGGCGUCUCGAUCGAUUAAUUAAAAAUCUUGCACAGCAUCGUCGGCAGGCGACGCCGCAGACGCGCUAGCCUCGAAACUUGCCCGCGUCGCGCAUGUACCCACGACCAAACGAUAAUAAGGAUGGUCAUUAAUCCUGUUGGUCUGUCUCGUCCACGACCGUAUUCGGCCUCGACGCCAAACCGCGAAAGAUUCACCCGCGUUUCACUCUCUUCGCCCUCUUCUUUUUCUCUUCCAUUCGUUUCGCCGCUAAUUACGCAGACCUGUGUCGGCUCCUUUGGGAUGCGUAAUUAACAAUUGCACGCGCUACCGGUGUUCGCCUGUAAACGGUACGAUUAACGACACCGGUGUGCAAAAGAAUAUCGUCGAAAAUUAUCGGUUCGACGAACUAUCGAUAAAAAUGGUUUGGAAGAAACGUCGCACGCUCGUUGCGUAGACAGACGAAUUUUCGCGGUGUUUGAUUAUCUACGCGGAAUCGCGCGUCGUUAGAGUCGUAAACGAACGACACGCGUCGAGACCGCUUGUCGUAACGACGGAACACGGGCGAAUACGAUCGCCGGUCGAGAUAUCGUACGCUGCCGGCUAAAAAUAAGCGGCUUCUUUCAAGCAAUGUCCACAAACGUUUGGCAGAGAAGGCGGUUAGUUACGUACGUGGUGUUUUGCCGAUAGAUGCUAGAUCUCUAGAGGGAAAUGUCGAUGGAUAAACGGGAUGUAUUUACGAGGAGAAAAGUGGUAGCAAAGUAGUAUCGAUCCGGAUAAUCCUAUAUAAUUGGAACGAUAGGAUCUGGCGAGUUAAGAGGGCUAAUCGCGAUUGUCACGCGCACCCGGACGAAUCGAUGCGCCGGCCUACGUAACGCGUUAUAACGUCACAACCGACGAAGAAACAUCUCCCGCGGCCUGAAACGAUCGAGACCAAGCGAGAGAGACCCAUGCCGGAAAUUUUAUUGGCCCACUGUAGCUGCUUAACUCCAUAAACUAUUAUACUUUUACGCGCGGUUUUAUCGCGGCAAUUUCCAACUUCGUGCUCGAACGGACGAAGAUGGAACACGGCCCGACCGAGAAAUAAGAAUGCCCGGAGAAGGCUACUUUUUGUGGCGCCACGUUGAUAAAUACCAUAUUACAACGCUAUGUAAGAGUACAUAGAUGUUACAUACAUCUUCAUAAGAUUUAACAAUGGUAUUCUAUUCGCGACUAUUUGAAAGUUUGGAGCCGAGAAUGACUUUAAUGAUCCUCCUGGAUUUCAUAUUUAAUAAAGCACUCCGGGUGCUUUACUAUUUUAUAUGCGCAUAGUUAACCGGUUUCUGUUUCAGUAAAUAAAGAUCCAGAAUGAUUCAACGUAAAUGGAACUUCCUCUUUUAAUACUUUCAAACAUUAAUAUCUUCUAUUGGCUGCUUCGUUCUUUUUUUAUCGUAACGAAUUAUUUUGUACAUUAUAUACGAUUUAUAAAUGUGAACCCUAGAAAUAGAACGUACGUACAUAAAAAUUUAUUUCGCCUCCUACAUAUCAUAAGAUGUAGGUACUUUACUUUGGAUAUUUUGCACAUGUGUAUUUUUGAGCAUUUAAAUUUCUCAUAAAUACAUAAAUCGAAUGAUUUAUUGAGAUUGAUCCAUGUGGCUAAUGACUAUUAUCUUCGAAACAUUCUUUACAAUGUAAUAUAUUAUAGUAAUCAUCGCUUUAACUUAACUAAGCAUAACAAAGAGUCUUUUCAUCCUUUUACGUAUUACAGGACUUGUCUCGUGGUAAAAUAAAUAAAGAACGAAACAAACAAAUAAACAAACAAAUAAAAAUUUGGAGACUACAUAGGAUUUGAUUUACAUAGAUUGGUCGGUGCAAAAGACAUCCCCUAAACUUUAACGAUUACUCCAAAACAUACGAAAGUACUUGAGCAAACGAUUUGUCAAUCGCUCCAACGAAAGAGAACUGUGGCAGACGAAUUUGCAAAGGAUUUACAGAAUCCAAGAGCUAUUUAAAUUUACCUCGGCCCGGUUGUCCUCGAUCGACGAAAAUAUUCCAACGAAUAUAACAGCGAGACUCGUUCGACGUUUCGGAGGAGCAAAACUUGCGCGAAAAGUCAGACAAUGCGUCUCUGAAACUCUAACGAGGAUCAAAGUGUCGUCGCGAAUUAUUCUGGCAGCGGGCAAAAAGUAAGAAUAGCGAUAACUAUGCGGAAGGGUGAGACACACAGCGAGAAGGGAGAAAGGAGAGAGAACGAGAGGGAUGAAAAUAAAAGCUGGAUGUAGCCGUGCCUAGGCCGAGCCAAAUGAAGUAAAUAGUCUGAAUACCAGCGGUACUAAUUAGUUAUAUAAAGGACUCCUUACAAGCCCGUGGCUUGGAAGCUUAUACCGUUAAUUAACAUACCGAGCAAGAGUGCCAGCGUUGGCGUCACGGCCGAAGCCUUAACGUGAAGCGACCCUUGAGACUCAAGAAACAUUAUCGAAGCAACUUUGUCAUCGGUUUUCGUCGACCAGUAAAAUACAAGCAAAUCCUCGCUGGUAUCGCUACUGCCUUCGCUCUUCUUUGUUAGAAAUGUUUUUGAAGAAUUGCGGUGCAACGUAGCAUUUAGUUCUAUUUCUUGUUCUACUCAAUUGGAAUUUUACUCGAAUAUGAUAGAAGAGUCUAAAUAUGAAUUUACAUAAAUAUGAAAUUAAUGGUAGUUUCAAUCUUCGUUACUGGUUACAGUCAGAAAUGUUUUUGAGCAAUUAAUACGUAAAGUGGCACACGAUGCCAUCUUGUUUUAAUCGUUCUAAUUGUUUGCUAUAAUCGAAUGGAACGUGAUUUAGUUAAAAUUAAAAAUAUUAAAUCUGAAUCUAAUAUGGCACUGAUAAAAUUAAUUGCAAGAGCAAUAAUUACACGGCUCUUACAUAUAUCACUUAUGACAUAACAAACUAGCAAUAUCGAUCUCAGUUGACAAACGACACGAUCUAACCGAUUUUACCCGAUGAUCUUUGCCAUCUUGAAAAUGUUCGAUUAUCAUCGUGAUCGCACGAACAAGGAGAUACGAACGAAUCGGAUACCCUGUAACACAAUAACGCGAAGAAAUUAUGAAUUGCUUGGAUACGAUGCAGGUACGCCAUCGAUGGCAAUAGGAGGCCAAGGACGUCGAUAACAGGGCGACGAAAGAGAGUUUAUGAGUCGUGAAACCAGCUUUAGCCAACCAGUGCAUCUUCUCAGACGAUGUUAUCGAAUAUCGUGAGGCUCGCGAUCGUGUCGAAUCCACUCGUCGACUGGCUCUUUGUCAACCGAGCUGCGAUAUACGUCAUAAAGAAGCUUCUUUCGAGGCUCGUUCCGUAUUCGAUUCGUAUCUAGGCCACUACUGCGUAGCUGAUUCGGGAGCGCAAUUAUGCGAGAACGUAUCGUAAGCCAGGAUGCCGGAAUAUCGUCGUAAAAACUGGAGAUAAAAGAUCGUAACGUCCGGAAGAAUAUUUACUACGAGAGAAUCCUCCCGAAUGAAUCAUUCGUAAGUCUCGUCGGUGAAGAUUCAGGAGAAUAACAACGAAGCUUAUUGCUUGUACUGUAUAGAGUUUCGCUUAAUCACUCUCAGGCUGAUCGUGUUUGACGCAAACGUCGUAAAACUCCUACGACACUUCUACCGAUGUUUUUUUCCGAACGAAACUGAAUGGAACGAGAUGAGUAGGAAACUUUAAGCCGUGCAAGAAUCCUUGGGGAGCAAUGUACGGCUAAUCUCCGUUACACGUGAAACGAGGAAGGCGACAAGGGAGCGCAGACAUUCACGGCGGACAAACAAAAAUAUUUCAGAAUUCGUUAAUUCUAUUUGUACCAGCGGUGCUCGAAGCGUACAGACCACAGGCAAAUUUCCUGCCCUGUCUACAAAAUCUGCAUAAAGCCGCUUCUCCGCUCCCUUCGUCCUGUAACGUAAGGCUGUAAAUUUCGAUAUUUCGCGUGUUUGAGGAACGGAUUUUUUCUGGUCGUGUUUCAUGCUUCGCGCCACACCGGAAAACGAGCGAUAUUUAUGGUAGGACUUAAGCGUCCAUGCCAUAUGUCCGAGAGAUUCUACACCCGUUUAUAUUUCCUUUUUCGCCUCUCCUCCCCGAUCAUCUUUUUUUUUUUCUCUUUUACCUUCAUUCUCUUAAUCUUGCUCCGUGCCACGGACGAUGAUAUCGUUGUCCCGCUAAUUGGCACGUCGAAUCGGAAAUCCCCCCGGGGAAGAUUAUUGAAAUCUAGUUACUAGUUCGUCGCGACAACUUGUUACAAGUUGCCCGUUGGUCGUUAAAUAACGCGGGACUCGUAGAUGGAACGAGGGUCGAGUAACGAACGCGAACUAUAAUCCAAGAGAGAGUUUUCCAAGGAGAAAGAAAACUGUCGCGGAGGUACGAGCAGCAACUUCUUUUUUCAGCGUCGCCACCGUUGUGAGACGUCGGGGGACGCCGAUUCGCCGGAAGUCGCGGCCCACGAAACUAACGAGGCCUUAGCUCACGCCGCUGCUAUAAACGUUGUCCGCAGAAAGUCUGCACGAAGCAUAGUCUUUCCUCUCUUCUCCUCCUUCUUCUUCAUCUCCACCCUCUCGGGGAUCGUUGGAUAACAAUGAGACAAACCGGCCGUCCAACGAGGGUUGCGUCGUACGUCGAGCACCGUACUUGAUCGUACACAGUAACAAAGACCGUGUACACGAGCUUUAAGUAGGUUUUUGCGAUAGCUGGAAGUUAACAGUAGCCUGCUGGUCGACACAACGCAACGUCAGGCAGCAAGAGGCAAACGCCAGCAUGGAUUCAGCCCCUUUUCCGUGCAGCCAUUUACUGUACCUAAGAGGCUCGCAGGGGUGCAAUGAUCCUCCGCGAGAUAGCGGUGUACAAUCGUUGAAGCAUGAGACGGUCGUCAGGUCGCUAGGGAGAAUCAAAAAGCCUGUUGGACACGUUGCGUCGUAGAGGACACACUGGUUCUGCUCCCUCGCUCUCCUUUCCCUUGGAACAAUGUUACGGGACGGGCAUAUCCGGAACAUUCACCGGAUUAAGUUUAUAAAUCGACAAUGCGAAGCGUCGCACCGCUUGGAAAUUCAGAUAAGAUUCACUGUGCUGGCGAUUCGACGAUUCAACUUGUAUGAAAUUGUUGAUACAAGAGCUGCAAGAAUGCAAAAUUACCCGUGAGAAUAUUGCGGUGGCAACGUGCGAUCAAUUUUUUAUUGUUUGUAAGUGAACUGCGAAUGUUUAGUGGAAAUUUAUACUUUUGUGAAAAGGCUACUUUUUAUUGGCGCAAAUUAGAUAGUACGAAGAAUCGAAGAUAUUGUUUAUGUCAUGUUCUUGCGAUGAACGAACUUGCGCAACUAAGUCGUUUGUUUCUUGAAGACUGAACGCUAAUCGUGUACGUACUUAUGUAAUGAAAUUGUAUUCAGAAACUAACGAAAAGCGGACUUGAUUAGCGAUAGGAAAAUUUCCAUUUAUAUAAAAAUUAAAAAGAAGAGAAGAUAAAGAGAAAAUGAAAAUGUUGCAGCUUCUAUAUGAUCGACGGCAGAUCGUUGGAUAAAAUGGACAACCAGACGAACAUUUCGAGAGUAACGCGAAAGAACGCGAUGGAUUAAAGUACGUCGCGAGAGAACACGACUCAGAAUGCUCGAUAUUCGUGGUGCAAGCCGAAGAGCGCGCGGCUCUUCCGCGUAUACCGACACAUACUCGGGCCUCUACGGUAAUCCUGAGUUAUGGCGGAUUAUAUCAUCAAUUUAGCCGACCAGGAUCAGGUGCAGCGAGUAGCAUCGGCAGCCAGGAUAUAUCCGCGUGCCUAUAUGGAGCACGGUGCACCCUUCGCUCCUCGUGCAACACCGUAUCACGCGCAUCCAAUGUCCCAUAACACAACCAUAACGCGAAACAACUUAACGUGUUCCUCACGCCAGAAUUCCUCUUUCUCCCUGCCUUUCUAUCCUCCAUACCAAUCGACCUAUCUUUUCUCCUCUCGCAUCGCGAAAUACGCCGUCCAUUUUUUGACACGUGAAAUCCCUACCGCGAAUUGGAAAAAUAUCGCGCGACAAUCUAUCCGCUCGCAGUGAUUAUCCCAUGGUAUCACGGGACGAUGGUACGUAUACACGCGUACGAGGUCCAUUCGAUAAUGGAGUUGACCGACGCGACGUAACGAGACGUAUUACGGCUUAAUACGUCUCGUUUCAAAAAAAAAAAAAAAAAAUCACACAGCGAAAUGUUCGUGCUCGUUCGUAUUUACCGAUAGUCCUGGUAAUCUGCGUUUUUUACUCGAACGUCGAUGUAGCUGCGCAGCCAGAACGUGGAGUGGAGAAAAAGAAAAGACACUACGUUCGGAAAAGCGUAACGAUAGAGAGCGAAAGAAGAAAGAGGAGGAGAAAGGGGGAGGAGGAGGGCGAGAAGAGCUCGAAGGAGGAAUGAUAUGCCUGUCGUACGUUUCCCUGCAGAUAUCUCGGGGGAUCGAGCCGCGGCGGCAGCAGUGCAACCGGUGAAAAUAUAAAUCCGCUAAAAUAUCGAGAGAUUAGCGUUCGGACACGUCGCCCGAUAGCUGGUCGAGGCUCAGGCCCAAAGCCAACCCUUUCCCCUCUUGUCUCUUUUCCUCUUGCACUGUCCAACCCUCUCCUUCCUCCUUCCACGUGCGUUCAUAGUCGAUGCAGAGAGCCGUUGCAGAGAGCCGGUCAACGAAACACUGGCAAACGAAAGGGGGAGAGUGUGAAAGGCAGCCGCCAUUUUUUCUCGUAACAAUAAUUUGUCGUUAUCAAAUAAACGCGGGCGUAGAGAGGCCGGGUCUGGUCGAGCGGCUUUGCGAACGCGCCAAUAAAUGCUGGCAAAAUAAAAUUUUACUGCCGAAUAAUAUCCGCGGCCGGAGUUUGUUGCUAUUGAAUUCCGCGGCUCUGCUCCGUAACGAUCCCGGUAAACUACGACCCCCCCGAGCCGCUACGUUGCUCCACGGGAUUUGCUUUUGGCCCGCCACGAAUCCCUCGUUCGUUCUUUUGUCCUGAAUUUUUUUUUUUUUUUAGCGUGAAUAUUUUUCACGUCACCGUUUGUUCCCUUAACUUUGUUCCUAUCUUAAUAGUAUACAUAUAUACGAUGCUUGAUAUAUGAACACGAUGACAUUAAGACCUAUUCAACGAAUUUCUCAACUCUUCAAUAAUACGGACAUCCAUCAGGUUACUGUACCGGUUAUUGAUCAGGUUAAUUCUGAAAUAUAAUUGCACAAUCUGGUUUUCUUACUACAGAAUACAUACUAAUUCUCUGGAAGGAAUUCAUCAUAGAAUUUGUCUACUUGCCAGAUAUAAUGGGAAUCUUAUAAUGUGAGUAACUUAUAGCAAUUACGAACAAAUACUAUCUGGUAUCAACUUACAACCUUAGUGAAUAGGAGAAACGAAUUUAAUGUCCUAUUUGUAUAUAAAAUGCUCAAAGUUCUAGUAACUUGAUGCUGGCGAUACCACUGACAAAUUUCACUCCAAUGUUUCAUCCGGAAACUUACACUUACUUCGUAUAUCCCAAUAAAGCUUAUCAAUCACCUCACCUACUAACCUCUACCUCGCUUUAAGUCCACAUCUGACGCUGUUAUUAUUUAUAAAUUACAUCUAUUCUUUAUUAUAUUCUUGACUAAUGGACCGUCCCGUAAAUGAACAAAAAAAAAAAAAAAAAACAAAA